AGACCAGGCGAGACACAGCACAGCACACUUUUGGAGCGAGAUGGAAAACCCAUACAUAUACCCGUCCUCCUUAAAGAAAUUAGGUGGUUGAAAGUGGACAAAGAUGGAUUAAAACACCAGGCGUGAACAGACUGCAUGAGAACCUGGAAAAGGUCCAUUCUAGAAAGCCCUUCUGCCUCCGCAGGACGUCUGUAAUGAUGCCUGACUUGAAGGGGAACCAGCUGACCUCGCAUCCUUCCGCCAUCCGGAACUGAAUCGCUCCCUACAGCAAUCCCACAAAUGUUCCAUGUUGUCAGAAUGUCUUAAAUCCAAUUGGAUCAAAAACAUGGGCAGAAAGCCCAGAACUUUGUAAAGAACACCGCUUUGUUCAUGCAGAAUGAGAAUAUUUUCCAGCAUCCAAGUUUUGUUUAAGAGCAUAGGGUGUAAACACCAGCAUUCCCAUGUUAUAAUGGCAAGAGUCUGCUCUUUUUAGAUCUCAUUCAAGA